CCUACGGGUGGCAGCAGUGGGGAAUAUUGGACAAUGGGCGAAAGCCUGAUCCAGCCAUGCCGCGUGUGUGAAGAAGGCCUUCGGGUUGUAAAGCACUUUCAGUGGGGAAGAAAGCCUUGGGGCUAAUACCCUCGAGGAAGGACAUCACCCACAGAAGAAGCACCGGCUAACUGCCGUGCCAGCAGCCGCGGUAAUACGGAGGGUGCGAGCGUUAAUCGGAAUUACUGGGCGUAAAGCGCGCGUAGGCGGUCUGAUAAGCCGGUUGUGAAAGCCCCGGGCUCAACCUGGGAACGGCAUCCGGAACUGUCAGGCUAGAGUGCAGGAGAGGAAGGUAGAAUUCCCGGUGUAGCGGUGAAAUGCGUAGAGAUCGGGAGGAAUACCAGUGGCGAAGGCGGCCUUCUGGACUGACACUGACGCUGAGGUGCGAAAGCGUGGGUAGCAAACAGGAUUAGAUACCCGGGUAGUC
rnacentral:rRNA from 1 species